UCCUACGGGAGGCAGCAGUGGGGAAUUUUCCGCAAUGGGCGAAAGCCUGACGGAGCAAUACCGCGUGAGGGAGGAAGGCUCUUGGGUUGUAAACCUCUCUUCUCAGGGAAGAAAAAAAUGACGGUACCUGAGGAAUAAGCAUCGGCUAACUCCGUGCCAGCAGCCGCGGUAAUACGGAGGAUGCAAGCGUUAUCCGGAAUGAUUGGGCGUAAAGCGUCCGCAGGUGGCUAUGUAAGUUUGCUGUUAAAGAGUCUAGCUCAACUAGAUAAAAGCAGUGGAAACUACAUGGCUAGAGUGCGUUCGGGGCAGAGGGAAUUCCUGGUGUAGCGGUGAAAUGCGUAGAGAUCAGGAAGAACACCGGUGGCGAAAGCGCUCUGCUAGGCCGCAACUGACACUGAGGGACGAAAGCUAGGGGAGCGAAUGGGAUUAGAUACCCCAGUAGUCUUAGCCGUAAACGAUGGAUACUAGGCGUGGCUUGUAUCGACCCGAGCCGUGCCGUAGCUAACGCGUUAAGUAUCCCGCCUGGGGAGUACGCACGCAAGUGUGAAACUCAAAGGAAUUGACGGGG
rnacentral:rRNA from 1 species